rnacentral:tRNA from 1 species
UAGGGUAUAGUGUAAUUGGUAGCACGGAGAGUUUUGAGUUCUCAGGUGUAGGUUCAAGUCCUAUAACUCUAG